rnacentral:rRNA from 1 species
GGACGAACGCUGGCGGUAUGCUUAACACAUGCAAGUCGAACGAGUAGGAAGAGCUUGCUCUUCCUGAAAGUGGCGAACGGGUGAGUAACGCGUGGGUAACCUACCCUUUGGAAAGGAAUAGCCUCGGGAAACUGGGAGUAAUGCCUUAUAAGAUACGUUUGUCGCAUGGCAUUUGUAUUAAACGCUCCGGCGCCAUAGGAUGGACCCGCGUCCCAUUAGCUAGUUGGUGAGAUAACAGCUCACCAAGGCCACGAUGGGUAACCGGUCUGAGAGGGCGAACGGUCACACUGGAACUGAGACACGGUCCAGACUCCUACGGGAGGCAGCAGUGGGGAAUAUUGCGCAAUGGGGGCAACCCUGACGCAGCAAUACCGCGUGAGUGAAGAAGGUUUUCGGAUCGUAAAGCUCUGUUAUUGGGGAAGAAAAAAAGACGGUACCCAAGAAGAAAGUUCCGGCUAACUACGUGCCAGCAGCCGCGGUAAUACGUAGGGAACAAGCGUUGUCCGGAUUUACUGGGCGUAAAGGGCACGCAGGCGGUUUUUUAAGUCAGAUGUGAAAGGCCACAGCUCAACUGUGGACAUGCAUUUGAAACUGAAAGACUUGAGUAUUGGAGAGGCAAGUGGAAUUCCUAGUGUAGCGGUGAAAUGCGUAGAUAUUAGGAGGAACACCGGUGGCGAAGGCGGCUUGCUGGACAAAUACUGACGCUGA